GACGAACGCUGGCGGCGUGCUUAACACAUGCAAGUCGAGCGGUAAGGCCCUUUCGGGGGUACACGAGCGGCGAACGGGUGAGUAACACGUGGGUGACCUGCCCUCAGCUCUGGGAUAAGCCUGGGAAACUGGGUCUAAUACUGGAUAUGACUCCACGGUGCAUGUCGUGGGGUGGAAAGCCUUGUGCGGCUGAGGAUGGGCCCGCGGCCUAUCAGCUUGUUGGUGGGGNGAUGGCCUACCAAGGCGACGACGGGUAGCCGGCCUGAGAGGGCGACCGGCCACACUGGGACUGAGACACGGCCCAGACUCCUACGGGAGGCAGCAGUGGGGAAUCUUGCGCAAUGGGCGAAAGCCUGACGCAGCGACGCCGCGUGAGGGAUGACGGCCUCGGUU
rnacentral:rRNA from 1 species